AAUGAACGCUGGCGGUAUGCUUAACACAUGCAAGUCGAACGAUCACUUCGGGUCUAGUGGCGCACGGGUGCGUAACGCGUGGGAACCUGUCUUUAGGUCGGGAAUAACACUUAGAAAUGACUGCUAAUACCGGAUAUUGCCUUCGGUCAAAAAUUUAUCGCCUUUUGAUUGGCCCGCGUCGGAUUAGCUAGUUGGUAGGGUAAAAGGCUACCUAGGCGACGAUCCGUAGCUGGUCUGAGAGGAUGAUCAGCCACACUGGAACUGAGACACGGCCCAGACUCCUACGGGAGGCAGCAGUGGGGAAUAUUGGACAAUGGGCGAAAGCCUGAUCCAGCAAUGCCGCGUGAGUGAUGAAGGCCUUAGGGUUGUAAAGCUCUUUUACCCGGGAUGAUAAUGACAGUACCGGGAGAAUAAGCUCCGGCUAACUCCGUG
rnacentral:rRNA from 1 species